rnacentral:rRNA from 1 species
GGUUAAAAAGCUCGUAGUUGGAUCUUGGGGCGUGUGCUUUCGGUCAUGCCAAUGGUGUGUACUGAUUGACGUGUUCUUCUAUUUGGUUGCGCGUGUGUGUUCUCUUAAUUGAGUGCCACACUCGACCGAAACGUUUACCUUGAAAAAAUUAGAGUGUUCAAAGCAGACCUGUUUGUGUCUGAAUAUUCGUGCAUGGAAUAAUGAAAUAUGAAUUCGGUUCUAUUUUGUUGGUUUUCGGAACUCGAGUUAAUGAUUAAGAGGGACAGACGGGGGUAUUAGUACUCUGCCGUUAGAGGUGAAAUUCUUGGAUCGGCGGAAGACUCGCAACUGCGAAAGCAUUUGCCAAGAAUGUUUUCUUUAAUCAAGAACGAUAGUCGGAGGUUCGAAGACGAUCAGAUACCGUCCUAGUUUCGACUGUAAACUAUGCCAGCUAACGAUCAGACAGCGUUCUCUACGACUUGUCUGGCAGUUUCCGGGAAACCAAAGCUUUUGGGUUCCGGGGGAAGUAUGGUUGCAAAGCUGAAACUUAAAGGAAUUGAGGAGG